rnacentral:lncRNA from 1 species
UAUGCCAGCCUGCACCGCAACCUCUGGUACAGCCUGCAUCUAUAAGCCAGCCUGCACCGCAACCUUUGGCUGUAUCUAUAUGCCAGCCUGCACCGCAACCUCGACCGGGGGCAAUUCCUCCUUCACUAUUGGAAUAUCAGCAUAAGCUUACAGGGAGACUGCCUAUGAUGGAAGCUCCUUAUUUAGCUCAGGUGCAAUAUAACAACAUUCUACCGCCAGUGGAGGCUCGACCUGUUCUCAACAUCACUUAUCCGGAGCAUGGGUCCCAUAGAAGAGAAGCUAAUGUGGAAAAUGUAUAUCCAACUUUGGACCAUC